UGCACCCUAGUCUCUUCCUCUUACUUUUAUUUUAUUAUUUCUUUGAGAUAGUGUCUCAUUCUGUCGCCCAGGCUGGAGUGCCGUGGUGUGAUCACAGCCCACUGCAGUCUCGACCUUCCUGGCUCAAGCGAUCCUCCCACCUCAGCCUCCUGAGUAGCUGAGACUACAGGCACUUGCCACCACACCCGGCUAAUUAAAUUUUUUGUUUUGUUUUGUUUUGUUUUAGGGCUGGGGUGUCACUAUGUUGCCCAGGCUGCUCUGGAACUCCUGGGCUCAAGUGAUCCUCCUGCCUCUGCCUCCCAAAGUGUUGGGAUUACAGGCAUGAGCCGCCAUGGCUAGUUUAAAUGGUUUUUCAGGGUCACAUAUCUCGGAAGAUAUGUGGGAUGUAAACCCAGCAGCCUGGCCCCAGAGCCCAUGGUCUUCAUGGCAGCAGCAUGUGUGCUGCCUCUCAUGUGUACAAGUGAAUGAAGAAUGAAAGAAAGUUACACUCUCACCAAUGACCAGCUGCCUUCUGGGUGAAGUGAAAGCACCCAGUACAGGCAGCAGGCUGCCACCAAGAAGGCUGGCAGUGCCCUCUUGAGGAAUCCCUUGGCAGUGCCAGGAGCCCAGCUGGACUCGAGAAUAUUUUGCCAAGGGCACCCAGCAGAACCAAUGGAAGCAGAAUCACAGA